CACGGGGGGAGCAAGCGUUGUUCGGAAUCACUGGGCGUAAAGGGCGUGCAGGCGGUCAGGUAAGUGGGAUGUGAAAUGCCCCGGCUCACCCGGGGACCGGCAUCUCAUACUGCUUGGCUUGAGUACGGGAGAGGAUGUGGGAAUUCCUGGUGUAGCGGUGAAAUGCGUAGAUAUCAGGAGGAACACCGGUGGCGAAGGCGAACAUCUGGCCCGAUACUGACGCUGAGGCGCGAAAGCUAGGGGAGCAAACGGG
rnacentral:rRNA from 1 species